rnacentral:rRNA from 1 species
UGGGGAAUUUUGGACAAUGGGGGAAACCCUGAUCCAGCCAUCCCGCGUGUGCGAUGAAGGCCUUCGGGUUGUAAAGCACUUUUGGCAGGAAAGAAACGUCGCGGGUUAAUACCCCGCGAAACUGACGGUACCUGCAGAAUAAGCACCGGCUAACUACGUGCCAGCAGCCGCGGUAAUACGUAGGGUGCAAGCGUUAAUCGGAAUUACUGGGCGUAAAGCGUGCGCAGGCGGUUCGGAAAGAAAGAUGUGAAAUCCCAGAGCUUAACUUUGGAACUGCAUUUUUAACUACCGGGCUAGAGUGUGUCAGAGGGAGGUGGAAUUCCGCGUGUAGCAGUGAAAUGCGUAGAUAUGCGGAGGAACACCGAUGGCGAAGGCAGCCUCCUGGGAUAACACUGACGCUCAUGCACGAAAGCGUGGGGAGCAAACAGGAUUAGAUACCCUGGUAGUCCACGCCCUAAACGAUGUCAACUAGCUGUUGGGGCCUUCGGGCCUUGGUAGCGCAGCUAACGCGUGAAGUUGACCGCCUGGGGAGUACGGUCGCAAGAUUAAAACUUAAAGGAAUUGACGGGGGUCAUAGCUGUUU